AACGGCAGACUUUUUCAGUAGUAAAAAGAACUUUUCGUCUCAGCUCGACAAUGGCCUUCUCCAGCGCCACCUUCAGAGCCUGCGAUCCCUCCUUCCUCCCCCCAAACCCCGCCAGCCCCUCUAUCGACUCCGCUGCUCUCGCCCGAAACACUCUCUUCUUCGAGUUCAGGGGUUUCGGAUCGCGUUCCAAUCACAAAUCCGGAUUCGCUGCGGCCUCCAAAGAAACCUUUAAUCCUGUCUCUUCUCUCGCGAGCGACAGCAGACUUUUCGCCAGGAAUGGCAAUUGGAGUUUCCAUGCAGAGCACGAUCAUGGGAGUGGAGUCGGCGGCGGCAGUGGCGGCGGCGGCGGAGGUGGUGGUGGUGGUGGUGGUAAUGGUGACCGCGAAGGGGAUGAUGGCGAAGAUGAUGGUGAGGAGGCUGAGUUCGGGCCGUUGUUGAAGUUUGAGGAGGUGAUCCGAGAGUUGGAGGCCUGUGGGGCGAGCCUGCCUUCUGACAUGUUGGAGGCGGCGAAAACCAUGGGGAUCCGAAGGGAUUUUCUCUUCAGAUACUUAGACCUACAGGCGGCACCUUGGCCACUGGGUGCUUUGAUGAGGUGCUGCUCGAUAUUUCGGGAUCGAAUGCUCGCUGACCCGUCAUUUCUUUUUAAAGUUGGAACGGAGAUUGUUAUCGAUUCUUGUUGUGCAACAUUUGCUGAAAUUAAAAAGAGGGGGAAAGAUUUUUGGGCAGAAUUUGAGUUGUAUGCUGCAGACCUUUUGGUUGGGAUAGUUGUCGACAUUGCUUUAGUGGGUUUGUUAGCACCUUAUGCACGUAUUGGGCAGCCAUCGGCAUCGACAGGCAUUUUUGGAAGCUUGACACGUGCUUGUGGAGCUCUGCCUAGCAGCAUUUUUGAAGCUGAAAGGCCAAGCUGCAAAUUUACAAUUCAACAAAGGAUUGGAGCAUACUUCUAUAAGGGAGUAUUAUAUGGUUCGGUUGGAUUUAUAUGUGGCAUUGUAGGCCAAGGGAUUGCCAAUUUGAUAAUGACUGCCAAAAGGAGUGUAAAAAAAUCAGAAGAAGAUGUACCUGUUCCACCGCUUCUGAAAAGUGCAGUUCUUUGGGAGAUUCAGGUGUGUUUCUCGCGGUUUCUUCCAACACCCGUUACCAGAUCAUUAAUGGCUUGGAACGUGUGGUCGAGGCAUCACCUGUAGCCAAACGCAUUCCACCUGUAGCGAUGGCUUUCACAGUUGGUGUGCGUUUUGCCAACAAUGUUUAUGGUGGCAUGCAAUUUGUGGAUUGGGCUCGGUGGGGUGGUGUUCAAUGAUGGGACCAUGCAAGAUAAAAUGUCCACUGACAAGGUGUCUGAAGCAUUUUGUGUCUGGAGGUGUCCAUGUUUUGGCAUUGCCUUUUCCUUUGUUGAUAUUGAUGCGAUACAAGCAAAGCACCAGCACUUUAGAGAUUAAUUUAACAGAAAAUUCUCUUUCACUAGGAAGGGAAAUUGAUUGAGUUCUAAUAUAUGUUAAAUUACGUAAGUAUUUUUCUGAAAGGUGCUUUUGCUGUAUGUAACAUUGCAUACAAGAAGGAAAUUUUGCCUGAUUCAGCUAAAGCUAUUGUUGUAAUCAGGAAGUAACAGGGUAUUCCAUUGCUUAGCAAUUUAUUUUUCUGUAAAUGAUGCAUAUUUUUAAGAGCUCAGUCUUGCUUUAGUUGCAGAGUUACAUGUUAGAAGUACUUGGCUUGUACAAGCUAGUUACAGUAUUUGCGAAUUAAGCUUAUUUUAUCUAA